UAGAACAACCAACAUCAUAUCAAGGAAAGGAGAAGGUAGAGAGACUGUCGCCGAGUUAGACUCGUGCACGUCCCCUCGCCUUCGACUAUCUGAGAUAUGUAUUGACAUACACCUGUGCACCUUUUGUAGAUUUCUCCGCCUUCGAGAGAAGGAUGGUGGCGAUCUAUGUUUUCAUCAUAUCACACACAUCGUAUGGCCAGAAUGUAACAAACAAUCAUAAUA
rnacentral:misc_RNA from 1 species